CAGCUCUGGGCAGAUGUAGUGGAUGUGUGUAUCUAUACCUCCAGCUGUUACAAUGUAUCCCCAAGCACCAUGUACUUCCGUUGCAGGACCUAUAAUCAUUCCUGGAGUUACACCAUCUUGUGUAUCUGGGUUACCUGCUUUACCAAUACCUACGAUUUUACCGUCUUUGAUACCGAUAUCGGCUUUUACUAUUCCCCAGUGGUCCACAAUAGUAGCCCCCAAUAAGCACAUAUCCAAACAGUCUUUAUCUAAUACCGAUGCUGACUGUCCCAUACCGUCACGG
rnacentral:sRNA from 1 species